rfam:Pseudohongiella acticola strain KCTC 42131 KCTC42131_S6, whole genome shotgun sequence.
GGUCAAGCAAUUAAGCGUACGUGGUGGAUGCCUUGGCAGCCAGAGGCGAUGAAGGACGUGGUAGGCAGCGAAAUGCUUCGGGGAGCCGUCAAACAGGCUUUGAUCCGGAGAUGUCCGAAUGGGGAAACCCGGCCCACUUGUGGGUCAUCCAUAACUGAAUACAUAGGUUAUGGAGGCGAACGCGGGGAACUGAAACAUCUCAGUACCUGCAGGAAAAGAAAUCAAUUGAGAUUCCCUAAGUAGCGGUGAGCGAACGGGGAUUAGCCCUUAAGUUAGAUCAGUGUUAGUGGAACGGUCUGGAAAGUCCGGCGACAGUGGGUGAUAGCCCCGUACACGAAAAUGCUGUUUUAAUGAAAACGAGUAGGUCGAAACACGUGUAAUUUUGACUGAAUAUGGGGGGACCAUCCUCCAAGGCUAAAUACUCCUGGCUGACCGAUAGUGAACUAGUACCGUGAGGGAAAGGCGAAAAGAACCCCGGUGAGGGGAGUGAAAUAGACCCUGAAACCGCGUACGUACAAGCAGUAGGAGCAGACUUGUUCUGUGACUGCGUACCUUUUGUAUAAUGGGUCAGCGAGUUAAUGUCAGUAGCAAGGUUAACCGUAUAGGGGAGCCGUAGGGAAACCGAGUCUUAACUGGGCGAAAUAGUUGCUGGCAUUAGACCCGAAACCGGGCGAUCUACCCAUGGCCAGGUUGAAGGUGCCGUAACAGGCACUGGAGGACCGAACCGUAAUCUGUUGAAAAAGAUUCGGAUGAGCUGUGGGUCGGAGUGAAAGGCUAAUCAAGCCCGGAGAUAGCUGGUUCUCCUCGAAAUCUAUUUAGGUAGAGCCUCGUGGAAUUGACUGCUGGGGGUAGAGCACUGUGUCGGCUAGGGGGUCAUCCCGACUUACCAACCCGAUGCAAACUCCGAAUACCAGUAAGUUUUAUCACGGGAGACAGACGGCGGGUGCUAACGUCAGUCGUCAAGAGGGAAACAACCCAGACCGCCAGCUAAGGUCCCAAAUAUCAGUUAAGUGGGAAACGAUGUGGGAAGGCUUAGACAGCUAGGAGGUUGGCUUAGAAGCAGCCAUCCUUUAAAGAAAGCGUAAUAGCUCACUAGUCGAGUCGGCCUGCGCGGAAGAUAUAACGGGGCUCAAACUGAUAACCGAAGCUGCGGAUGUGUGCUUAGGCACAUAUGGUAGAGGAGCGUUGUGUAGGCCGUUGAAGGUGAAUCGAGAGGUUUGCUGGAGGUAUCACAAGUGCGAAUGCUGACAUGAGUAACGAUAAGAGGGGUGAAAAACCCCUCCGCCGGAAGAUCAAGGUUUCCUGUCCAACGUUAAUCGGGACAGGGUGAGUCGGCCCCUAAGGCGAGACCGAAAGGUGUAGUCGAUGGGAAAUCGGUUAAAAUUCCGAUACCGGCUGUUAUUGCGAUGGAGUGACGGAGAAGGCUAGGCCAGCGCGGCGUUGGUAGUCCGCGUUUAAGGUUGUAGGCUGGUGACUUAGGUAAAUCCGGGUUGCUAAGGCCGAGAACUGAUGACGAUCUUACUUUUUAGUGAGAGAAGUGGUUGAUGCCAUGCUUCCAGGAAAACCUUCUAAGCUUCAGAUAACAGACGACCGUACUGUAAACCGACACAGGUGAUCAGGUAGAGAAUACCAAGGCGCUUGAGAGAACUUGGGUGAAGGAACUAGGCAAAAUGGUACCGUAACUUCGGGAGAAGGUACGCUCUUUUUGGUGAAGCAUUUACUGCGUAAGCUGAGGAGAGUCGAAGUGACCAGGCCGCUGCAACUGUUUAUUAAAAACACAGCACUCUGCAAACUCGUAAGAGGAAGUAUAGGGUGUGACGCCUGCCCGGUGCCGGAAGGUUAAUUGAUGGGGUUAGCUUAGGCGAAGCUCUUGAUCGAAGCCCCGGUAAACGGCGGCCGUAACUAUAACGGUCCUAAGGUAGCGAAAUUCCUUGUCGGGUAAGUUCCGACCUGCACGAAUGGCGUAAUGAUGGCGGCGCUGUCUCCACCCAAGACUCAGUGAAAUUGAAAUCGCUGUUAAGAUGCAGUGUACCCGCGGCUAGACGGAAAGACCCCGUGAACCUUUACUAUAGCUUCACACUGGACUUUGACACUAUCUGUGUAGGAUAGGUGGGAGACUUUGAAGCGGCAGCGCUAGCUGUCGUGGAGUCAUCCUUGAAAUACCACCCUGGUAUUGUUGAGGUUCUAACUCAGUCCCUGAAACGGGGACGAGGACCGUGUGUGGUGGGUAGUUUGACUGGGGCGGUCUCCUCCCAAAGAGUAACGGAGGAGCACGAAGGUACCCUAAGAGCGGUCGGAAAUCGCUCAUUUAGUGUAAUGGCAUAAGGGUGCUUGACUGCGAGAGCGACGGCUCGAGCAGGUACGAAAGUAGGUCAUAGUGAUCCGGUGGUUCUGAAUGGAAGGGCCAUCGCUCAACGGAUAAAAGGUACUCCGGGGAUAACAGGCUGAUACCGCCCAAGAGUUCACAUCGACGGCGGUGUUUGGCACCUCGAUGUCGGCUCAUCACAUCCUGGGGCUGAAGCCGGUCCCAAGGGUAUGGCUGUUCGCCAUUUAAAGUGGUACGCGAGCUGGGUUUAGAACGUCGUGAGACAGUUCGGUCCCUAUCUGCCGUGGGCGUUGGAGAUUUGAGAGGAGCUGCUCCUAGUACGAGAGGACCGGAGUGGACGAACCUCUGGUGUUCGGGUUGUCACGCCAGUGGCAUUGCCCGGUAGCUACGUUCGGACAGGAUAACCGCUGAAAGCAUCUAAGCGGGAAGCCCCCCUCAAGACGAGAUCUCCCUGGGGAUUUAAUCCCCCUAAAGUGCCGUUGAAGACCACGACGUUGAUAGGCUGGGUGUGUAAGUGCAGUGAUGCAUUGAGCUAACCAGUACUAAUUGCACGUGAGGCUUGACCAU